CGCCCCUCCGCCAGCCUCAUGGCCCCGCAGCUACCGCUCACCCGGCCGCUGAGUGCCGCAUGCGGCCGACGGCGCGAGGAGGUGGCAGGCUAGGAACAAGAACCCUUUUGAAAUGAAAAAAAAGAGAAGAGUCUCAAAUGCCACAUUGUGAGAGAUGCACGAAAACUUCGAGAAUUGACAAUGAUGCUAAGGUGACCUUCCUAAGUUUCAAGGAAAUAAAAAUCCACUAUGAAAAACACA